rnacentral:rRNA from 1 species
GAUGAACGCUGGCGGCGUGCCUAAUACAUGCAAGUCGAGCGAACGGACGAGAAGCUUGCUUUUCUGAUGUUAGCGGCGGACGGGUGAGUAACACGUGGAUAACCUACCUAUAAGACUGGGAUAACUUCGGGAAACCGGAGCUAAUACCGGAUAAUAUUUUGAACCGCAUGGUUCAAAAGUGAAAGACGGUCUUGCUGUCACUUAUAGAUGGAUCCGCGCUGCAUUAGCUAGUUGGUAAGGUAACGGCUUACCAAGGCAACGAUGCAUAGCCGACCUGGGAGGGUGAUCGGCCACACUGGAACUGAGACACGGUCCAGAGUCCUACGGGAGGAAGCAGUAGGGAAUCUUCAGCAAUGGGCGAAAGCCUGACGGAGCAACGCCGCGUGAGUGAUGAAGGUCUUCGGAUCGUAAAACUCUGUUAUUAGGGAAGAACAUAUGUGUAAGGAACUGUGCACAUCUUGACGGUACCUAAUCAGAAAGCCACGGCUAACUACGUG